rnacentral:lncRNA from 1 species
AAACAAUGUCACGACUAUCAUUUUUGGGGCAUAACAAGAAAUAAUAUCGUAACUGCUAAGCAGCUGCACAUCAGAUAAUAAUUAGCGUAUCUGAAAAAAAAAUUAUUACUUGAACAAGUAUUGAUGCAUAGCUAAUGUAAAUACAUUUGUUUCAUCAGGUAGAGAAAAUACGUUAUCCUUAAGCAAGAACACAGUGAUCAGCUAAGCACCCAUCAAACAAAUGAAGAUUGGUGAAUAUAAAUGCAAAUAUAGGUUACCUGACCAUGGUCAAUGACAACGUUGGUCUCCGGGUUUAUUUGAAUUAAUGAGGACAGAUAAUUAUAAAGAUAAAUGAGGUAAAGGUUUAAACUGAGAUUUUUUAGGGAGCUUUUAGAUCCAAGUCCAAAAACUUAAGCUGGGAUUACGUCCAAUCUAGUGCCUCUGUUUUGGUUUAUUUGGGCCAAUUGACUUUCUUAAGCUCAUUUUGCACAUUGAGAUAAACAAUAUAAACAAAUUCAAGUCUUUGAUUUCAUGCAUAUUUUGCUCUCAAUUUUGAAUAUACCCAGUCUACUCAUCUUGGGAAAAUGAUCCAGAAAUUCAUCCACAUAUAAAUAUCAACCAACUCAACCUAUGUGCAAACAUUUAUUAAAUGGCUAUACCUCUAUACAAGUCACAUUUAAUCAACAGGCUAGGCUCGACACACGAUGCAUUAAUCAAACAGCAACACCAAUAAC